rnacentral:lncRNA from 13 species
CGUUUGCUCUGUGGGAAGCCAGCUUGCAUGUUGUGAGGACUCUCACACACCCCUAUACCAAGGUCUACGUGGUCAACAAUUGAGGCUUCCCGACAACAGCCAGCACCACCUUGCCAGGCCUGUGAAUGAAUGAUUGACUUACAAGUGGAUCUGCUAGUCCCAGUCAAGCCUUCAGGUAACUGUAGUUCCAGCCAACAUCUAGACUGCCACCUCAUGAGAGAACCUGAACUAGCCAGAUCCUUUGAACUCUUUCAAGCUAUGUUUCAAGACUUUCUGGGCUUUGACGGGGCUGGGCAUUCACUGUAA